rnacentral:rRNA from 1 species
CUUAGAUUCCUGUACCACGCAUUAUCAGAACUGUAGGGACGCAUGUGGAAAGCACGAGCCGGGAAUGGAAAGACCGGUACAAGCGAGGUAGGUGUACAAUAGGCAAAUCCGUUGUAUGAUCCAAAGACGUGAUGUGGAGCGAAAUAAAGUAGCAAAGCGUGUGAGCCAUGUGCCGAGAAAAGCUGCUAUUGUGUAAUGCGUGCCCGUACCGUAAACCGACACAGGUGGAUGAGGAGAGAAUCCUAAGGCCGACGGAAGAAGCAUUGUUAAGGAAUUCGGCAAAAUGACCCCGUAACUUCGGGAGAAGGGGUGCCUGCGAGAGCAGGCCGCAGAGAAUAGGCUCAAGCAACUGUUUAGCAAAAACACAGGUCUAUGCGAAACCGAAAGGUGAAGUAUAUGGGCUGACGCCUGCCCGGUGCUGGAAGGUUAAGAGGAGAGGUUAGCGAAAGCGAAGCUUUGAAUUUAAGCCCCAGUAAACGGCGGCCGUAACAAUAACGGUCCUAAGGUAGCGAAAUUCCUUGUCGGGUAAGUUCCGACCCGCACGAAAGGCGUAAUGAUUUGAGCACUGUCUCGACAAUGCAUCCGGUGAAAUUGAAGUACCAGUGAAGAUGCUGGUUACCCGCGCCAGGACGGAAAGACCCCAUGGAGCUUUACUCCAGUUUGAUACUGGGAUUCGGUACUGCAUGUACAGGAUAGGUGGGAGACGAAGAAGGAUGGACGCCAGUCUGUCCGGAGUCGCUGUUGGGAUACCACCCCUGUAGUACUGGGUUUCUAACCAGUUACCAUGAUCUGGUAAUGGGACAAUGUCAGGCGGGGAGUUUGACUGGGGCGGUCGCCUCCGAAAGGGUAUCGGAGGCGCUCAAAGGUUCCCUCAGAAUGGUUGGAAACCAUUUGAAGAGUGCAAAGGCAGAAGGGAGCUUGACUGCGACACCGACGGGUGGAGCAGGUACGAAAGUAGGACUUAGUGAUCCGGUGGUAUAAAGUGGGAUUGCCAUCGCUCAACGGAUAAAAGCUACCCUGGGAUAACAGGCUUAUCACUCCCAAGAGUUCACAUCGACGGAGUGGUUUGGCACCUCGAUGUCGGCUCAUCGCAUCCUGGGGCUGUAGCAGGUCCCAAGGGUUGGGCUGUUCGCCCAUUAAAGCGGUACGCGAGCUGGGUUCAGAACGUCGUGAGACAGUUCGGUCCCUAUCCGGCGCGGGCGGAGGAUAUUUGAGAGGAGCUGUCCUUAGUACGAGAGGACCGGGAUGGACGGACCACUGGUGUAUCUGUUGUCGACCAACGGCAUGGCAGAGUAGCCAAGUCUGGAAGGGAUAAACGCUGAAGGCAUCUAAGCGUGAAGCCCCCCUCAAGAUGAGAUAUCCCUCCUUCGGGAGUAAGACCCCUUGAAGACUACAAGGUAGAUAGGGCAGAGGUGGAAGCAUGGCAACAUGUGGAGCUGACUGUUACUAAUAGGUCGAGGGCC